rnacentral:lncRNA from 1 species
GUCCAUCCAAAACAUUCCUGCUUCUUCUCCAGGAGAUCGGAAUCUAAGUCAGGGAUUUAAUGUGCAGUUUAACCUGCAGGUCUCACUGUGUCCAGCACCCAAAUGGAAGAAUCCCUUGCCUGUCUUGAACUCCUCUGGGGCUUUGUGCAGCAUCUCCUUCCCAGCUGGAUUCCCUGGUGAGAGCUGCGCUCCCAAACUGGCACCAUAACCACUUGGCAAUACCAGCAGGGUGCUAAGCAUACUGUGAAAGUGCUAAUUGCAGUAGUAAACUUUUUAACAUUUCCCCCCGGACUCAAUACCUUGCUUUGU